CGUAGGUCUGAUGGCACUCCCAUUAGGUUACGCCGUCCUAUAGCACGAAGUCGAUCUGGUUCAGGGAGCAAUUCACGUGCAUUAGCUUCUUCGCACGAGCAAAAUGCAGUUCUGAUUGCUCCAGUUCCAGCUCCACAUGAGCCGGGUAUAUGACUGUUGAACAAUUGGUUUAACAACCGGGGCGGCAGCAUCUCUGUAUACUGUAUACUCCAUCCUCUGAGAGAUACACUACAUGGUUUAACAAGUCGCACAAUGGCAUUAGCAAGCGCAUUAACCAGAUGAUGCAUUCUAUACUGAAGACCGGCUAUCCGACCUACAGUAGACUUCUAGAUCCCGAUCGCGAGUUGUGGUUUCGUCAGUUUACGCAAGAAUUUAAUUGGAUGCCCGGGGAUAUGGAAAUCUUCCAUAAGGCAUUCCACAUAAAGACCAUGGGUAUUUACAGGAAUCAGAUCUAUGAGAGGAAGCAGCUAUGGUGUAAGGGCAAGAAACCAAGAUUUAUCAACCCAUGGUAUGGCAAGACUUAGACAUCCAUUGGUGUAAGCAGGAGACUGAAGAGCAAUCAGCCAAAAACUUCCAGAACCGCUUGAGCGACCGUGGCGGACAAGUGGUUAUAUCCACAACCUCGGUGCUUGCAGUAUGUGCUCUAAGGAGGAUCAACUUGUGGAGGCAAAUGACGGUAAUCCCGUCGAUUAUCUCAAUGUCAUGAGGGGAGCUUACACUAACAAGAAGACUGGAAAAUUAAGAAUUCGGUUAUCAGAGAUGUCAUAGACUUGGUGGAAUCCCAGAUAGAAGCAUUUUGAGUUUCACGGGCUCUCUCUGAUGAGUGUUCCUCGGCUUCCAAUAACUUGUCCCAAUCUCGAAUAAACGAAAUGGUUGAAGAGGUAAUUUUUAGAUUUUUAAUUUCAUUAAUAUAAAUUUCAUUUAUAUUUUAUUAAACUUAUUUUAGUUAACUUAUAUUAUUUUUAAAGGCUGUUCUAAAGAAGAAAGGUCGUUUAGUCAGAUUGGCUCAUUGUGCCUUUUCUUAUCUUUCUUCUUCACAAGCUCCGUAUGUUGAUCAGAUGAUUAUAGAGGAGGUACAGAACAAGAAUGACCGGAUUGUAGUGUGGGAGAGUCAAAACGCUACAAUUCUUGCUUAAAUAGCGCAACAUGAUGCUCAAAUAGCAUAAAAUAAAGUAGAAGUGGCGGAGGCUAAGAGGAUGAAC